rnacentral:rRNA from 1 species
AUGCUAGCGAGAUGGGCAACAUAUCUGGAGAGGUUUAACUAUCUCAUCGUGCAUAAAUCUGGGACAACUAACCGAGUGGUUGAUGCUUUGAGUCGUCGUGCAUGCCUCUUGACUUCUUUUGAGGCUGAACUUCCAGGCAUGAAUCAAAUAAAGGAGUUGUAUCAGAAUGAUGAAGACUUUGGCCAUGUUUGGGUGAAGCACAUCAGGGGCCAACCAUUAGGUGACGACUAUUUGGUGCAGGAUGGCUAUCUCUUGAAAAAUGAUCGUUUGUGCAUCCCAAGAAGUUCUUUGUGUGACAAACUAAUUAGAGAACUCCAUUCAACUUAG